GCUCCUCUUUCCUCCAGCUCUGUGUAACAGCCGUGCUGCGCUGCCUGAGAGAAAACCCCCAGCGAGGCUGGAUCCCUGGGAGCUGCUCCAGGCUCGCCCAGCUCCAUCUGCGGCGUGGGGAGCUGAGGCACGCAGCUCUUUCCCCUGGAUGGAGAUGUCAGCACCCCAAAGGAUCAGAAAUCAUUUCUGGAGGUGUGAAAUACCUGGCUACUACAUGGAGGAAAGCAGAAGUAUCUCACCUGCUGAGGUAAAACUGGAUGGGAUGGACUCAAAUACAUCAAGAUUGUCCUUGGCUUUGGACACAACUUUUAUGUAGGGUUGGAAGGAAAUGUUCUGCACGGUCUCUGAGUGGCCACAGUGGUGGGAAGUGCAGCUAAUCACAAUUGUCAUUUAGAUAUCAGCUAAAGAUCGCACAGAGAGCUCCAGAGAGAUGAGAAGCUGCUAAACCCAGGAGUCUCCUGGGGUUUUGUCCAACUCGGGUUAAUGAGAUCAGCGUCUCCUGAACCUGGCUCUGGACGUGUGACUCAGCUGGGAUCAGACAGCAUCACCUCCUGAAGGGCUCCCUUCCCAUUCCCACUGCCGACUGCAGCCACCUGAGCAGAGCGGUCACUCCCCAGGCCCUUCAGGCACCCCAUAUGGGAAUGGAAAGCACUUACAACAGCCAGGUUUUACCCUUUGCAAGCAGAACGCUUCGCGUGAAGUGCGACCAAAAGCAUGAAAAUCGAUGUAACUAAUGCCUGCUGUCACCAUCUCCUGCUCUGCCCAGAAAACAGCCAUUGCCCGCAGCCACGCUGCUUUGUGGCAGGCGGAACGGAGGGGCUGUGGAGCUGAAACUGCAGCAGAUUCCUCAGCGGGUGCCACCGACGGCUGAUGACACGGCAGCAGCACGGGAGGGACAGGGUUAACCCAGCCCCUGCCCUCAGGGGUGCCCAGAGCCAGGUGCGGCUUCUUCAGCGCUCUGGGCAGGGACACCCCGGCGGGGACAGCCACCGCAGCCCCGCACCGAGCUGCCGGCGUCCGUGGGGAGCCAGGACAGCCGGGAGACCCUCCGCUCUGUAAUUACCUCCCACCCCCACCCGCGGCCCUCGCCAUCCGGUGAUUAACUUAAUUGCAGCUCCAGCCCCAGCGCAGGAGCUGUGCCGGGAAGGUCUGGCCCCGUGUCCUGCCCGGGUUCGGCCCGAGAGCAGGGACACGGACACGAGCAGGGACACGGACACGAGCAGGGACAGGGACACGGACACGAGCAGGGACAGGAACACGAGCAGGGACACGGACACGAGCAGGGACAGGGACACGGACACGAGCAGGGACAGGAACACGAGCAGGGACACGGACACGAAUGCGAGCAGGGACACGGACACGAGCAAGGACAGGAAAACGGACACGAGCAGGGACACGGACACGAGCAGGGACACGGACACGAGCAGGGACAUGAAUACGAGAAGGGACACGAGCAGGGACAUGAAUACGAGAAGGGACACGAGCAGGGACACGGACACGAGCGGGGACACGCACAAAUCCCGCCGAUCCCACGGCCUCCUGCGCCGGCUCUGAGCCCUGUGUGCCAGAGCCGGGCCGAUGUGUGGGAGCCGCUGGAUGGGAAGAACACCCGGACAGGGAAGCACCAGCCGAGGGUGGCCGGAGGAUGCGCUGCUCCCAGGGGACACCGCUGGGCUCUGCAGCGGCCAUGCCAGCCCCACGGGCACCCCCUCCCCUGCAGGAUGCAGCGGGUCCCGCCUGCCCUUUCCAGGUGCCCUUUCCAGGUGCCCUUUCCAGGUGCCCUUUUCCUCUGCCGGUGCCGAGAGGGUGCAAAGCAUCGCCCCUGCUCCUGUGCUUCGCAGCCUCCCUGCGCCUCGCUCCAGCGGUGGGAGCAGCCCCUGACGGGGGACAGGGGUGACACCAGUCUCACCCCUGUCACCCGAGGAGGGUGGUUCUGUGCUGCCGAGGCUGCUGAGGACUCAGGGCUGACACACCAGGCACGGGAGUAUCGUUUUGGGUUUUCCACCUUGGCAUGAGCAGGGUUGUGGGCACCUCUCCUCCCCGGGCCUGCCUGCGCUGGGCUUCCCAGGGAAAGGCGUCUGCAGGGAGAGGGAACCGCGGCAGAUGCAGCUGGUGAGGGGCUGGCCAAAGUGUUUGGUGAUGGUAUGAAAACCCCUGGGGGCAGGGGGCACUCUGUGAGCCCCUCAGCUCCUGCCCAGCAGCCCCCAGACGGGGGGGUCCUGCAGUGGGGUCCCAUCCCUGCCCAGGAUGCGCUGCUGGCUCCUGGGGCAGGAGGCAAAGCUGGUGGCGCUUCAGCCGGCUCUGCAGUGUCCCCACCCCCUGCCACCGCCCCCGGUGCCCGUGCAGGACGCUGGGCACAGGGUCAGACCACAGAGCCCGGGCUGUGGCUGUCUGGGCUGGCGCUGCAGGUGUGGCUGCCCCGCACACCCACGCACAGACGGACGGACGGACGAUGCUAAACGACAAACUGCAGCCCCACAAGUUCCCUCUGUGCUGCUAACCCAGCAGUGCUCUGGCUCUGCUGUUGCACCCUGUCCCGUGUGAGCCUCCAAUCCCACCUCACCCCAAGCCUCUGCUGAGGCCCUGUUCAGGUGGGUGUCUGUCACCCUGUCCUGGUCACCCUGUUCAGGUGGGUGUCUGUCACCCUGUCCUGGUCACCCUGUUCAGGUGGGUGUCUGUCACCCUGUCCUGGUCACCCUGUCCUGGUCACCCUGUCCUGGUCACCCUGGGCCAGCCCUCACCAUCCCCUCGGUGCUCAGACGGGUCCAACACCUCCCGUGGGGCUGGAAUCGGGAGCAAAGAGCAGGAAUGCUCUUGUCAGGCAGCACUUCCUGCAGCUGGCCCUCUGAAGGGUGGCCAAGCCCAGCCAAGGGUUGGCUCCAGCUUCAAACCUGGGAUUUGAGUUUGGGUUCAGCCUUUAAGCCGUGUCCUUCCCCAGAGAAGCAGAGGCUGCUGGAAUCCAGGGUUUCAUCUCCAGGCCAAGUGAAACCCCACAUCCAUCCUGGUGGUUAACCAUCAGUAGACGUCUCAUCGCUCAGAAAUCCAACUUCCUCCAGCACAGCCUCGGGUUGGGCUGUUCCAAGGAAAAUCGCUUGGUUUCUGGCUUCACCGUAGGCUCAGCAGUGAUUUACUAUGAAAAUGUGCAGGGAGCUGAUGGUGUUCAUCCUGCAAUGUUUGUGUAAGGGCUGUACAGCUGCUCUUCUUAACCUCUAAGUAAGACUGGCUGGAGGAAUCCUGUUCUUAAUUCUGUUGCCCAAUGUCUUAUUUUAAAUUCAGUCUCUAGUACCCCUGGAUGCUGACUCCCGUUUUUUUUCCUCCAAGCCGCCUGAGUAAGGAGCUUAAGUUGUUGCUCAAUAGCAGUGAGAUAAAAGCUCGAGUUAAUAAUGGCUGUUACCAGGAAAAUCCUCCAAUAAAUAAUAAUUUUCUUAUCUGCAUGACUUUGGGACUGGAGAAAAUGCCUUCCAGUGAAAAGCUGCAGCAUGCAGGGGUGGGCAAGGAGUGUUUCAGGUGAAAGAUCAGAAUAAGGCAAGCUCAGGGCUGAAUCUUGUUAA